CACGUAGGCACCAAGCGUUGUCCGGAUUUAUUGGGCGUAAAGAGCUCGUAGGCGGUUCGGUAAGUCGGGUGUGAAAACUUUGGGCUCAACCCAAAGCCUGCACCCGAUACUGCUGUGACUUGAGUCCGGUAGGGGAGUGGGGAAUUCCUGGUGUAGCGGUGGAAUGCGCAGAUAUCAGGAAGAACACCGGUGGCGAAGGCGGCCCACUGGUCCGGUACUGACGCUGAGGUGCGAAGCGUGGGAGCAAACAGG
rnacentral:rRNA from 1 species